GAUCCUGGCUCAGGAUGAACGCUAGCGACAGGCUAACACAUGCAAGUCGAGGGGCAGCAUAGAAGUAGCAAUACGUUGGUGGCGACCGGCGCACGGGUGAGUAACGCGUAUGCAACCUACCUAUCAGAGGGGAAUAACCCGGCGAAAGUCGGACUAAUACCGCAUAAAACAGGGGCACCGCAUGGUGAUAUUUGUUAAAGAAAUUCGCUGAUAGAUGGGCAUGCGUUCCAUUAGGUAGUUGGUGAGGUAACGGCUCACCAAGCCGACGAUGGAUAGGGAACUGAGAGGUUGGUCCCCCACACUGGUACUGAGACACGGACCAGACUCCUACGGGAGGCAGCAGUGAGGAAUAUUGGUCAAUGGGCGGGAGCCUGAACCAGCCAAGUCGCGUGAAGGAAGAAGGAUCUAUGGUUCGUAAACUUCUUUUGCAGGGGAAUAAAGUGCAGGACGUGCCCUGUUUUGUAUGUACCCUGAGAAUAAGGAUCGGCUAACUCCGUGCCAGCCGCAGC
rnacentral:rRNA from 1 species